AUCACCGUCCCUCCCUCCCUGCAUUCUUCCCAAGACCCUUCCUAAUCACCUCUGGCCUCUGGUGGGAGGGGAACUGACACUCCUCCACCACCCCCACCCCCAGGCAAAUGGAGACAUGAGGUCCAAUGAGGGACAAUGCUUAACCCUGGGACAAUGGACAAUUCGGCUAAUCCAGACUGCUUCUGGUUUGAGAUUUCCCAAAUAUUAAGAACUUGGUUCCCUACUAGGGAGUUAGUCCUGCCCCCAAAGCCCAGUAUGCAAUAGGGGCUCAAUAAAUAUUUGUUGCCGUUAAUUCUUAGGAUGCCUUUGACAGUCCUGUCACACUCCUGCACUGCAGGACAGUCGAAACUGUCCAGAGGAGACGGGUGGAGGAACACCUCAAGCCUUCCUUUUGCUACCUCUGUCAUUGUCCCUCUCAGUCCCAAUGCCCUGGAAGCUGUUUCUCUAACUUGAGUGUCUCACACUGGGAGUCAGCAGUCUUGGGUCNNNNNNNNNNNNNNNNNNNNNNNNNNNNNNNNNNNNNNNNNNNNNNNNNNNNNNNNNNNNNNNNNNNNNNNNNNNNNNNNNNNNNNNNNNNNNNNNNNNGGGAGUCAGCAGUCUUGGGUCUUUCUGGCAGCUCAAGGACCCUCACCCUGUCUGCACACCCCGUUAGAAGACUGGCCUGGGGGAAGCCUCCAGAUCAGAGCUGUGGGCCCCCAAGCCGGCCCCGCGGGGCUUUCUGCCAGACCCCGCCUCCUCACACCCGGACACCAGCUGCUUCCUCCAGGGGUCAUCAAAGCCAGUGCACGUGCUCGCAACCCUUCCCCUCCCCCCCGCCGCCCACUCAGAAAGGUGGCCUGGGGGAGGGCCGGGAUGAAGGGGAUUCGAACCCCUGGUCCCUUCCAAGGCCCCGGGCUCCUUAUUUAUUCAGCCCGCUCCAGGCUUCUCCUCCCGCUGGCCUCCCGGAGAGUUCCUCUCUUGGGAGUCUGCAACCGUGCGCGGGGCGGACACCUGGGUAGUACGCUGCAGCCCCUUCCCCGCCUGGUGGCACAGACGGGUCAGACCGGAGCGGUCUGCAGUUUUCGUCCACGGCGACGACACCAGUCCCGCAGGGAGGAGGCCAAACGGGAACCAGGGGCCAACUGGCCCGGGAACUUCCGUCCCGGCUCCCCAAAAGCGGAGCCCCCUGGGAAGUCCCAGCAGGUGCGCGGCGCAGCAGAGGCUGGCAGAGGGGAGGGGGCGGGGCAGCGGUGAGGGGCGGGGCCUGCUGUUUCCCCGGCGGGCGGGGCGGGGCGGGGCGGAGAACAGAGUGGGCAGGGCUAUCGUGGGGUGGUGGAAAUCAACGGAGUUUGCAUCUGCGGUUUCUGGCGGAGGUCAAUUCCCCGGACUUUGGAGGCCGUGGUGAGAUGACUGCCCUCCCCUAAUCACUUGCAGAUGUAUCCAGGGUCAGAGACCUCGGAGCAAAGGAUGAGGCAGAUGUCUGAGACAUGAAGCUGGAAAACCAAGUCCAGUCUUCUUGAACCCUGACCCCCUUACACACCCAAUAAGGAAGGUGAGGGACUUGAGGUAUCUGACUGAGAGGGCUGGAUUCUGUCUUCAUCUUAGCUGAUAUUUUGUUCGUCGUGUAUUUUUGUUUCUUGCAUUCACUUUGAUUUUUUUUUAAUAUUGUAUUAAAACAUUAUUUAUCCGGAUUCUGGAAUAUUUGGGCUCCCCCUUAAAUACUGCACCUCAGGCAAGUUGCCUCUUUGGCCUCUGUCUGGCCCCAGCCCUGCCACGAGGCCAUGGAGAUAGAGUCACAAACACAACCGAGAACAUACAGUCAUGAGACACAUUGGUGACAAACUGCAGAGCCAAGCAAACACACAGCAAACCCAGAUGGAGGCAGGGCUAGGAAAAGAUAGGACUGUUGUGUGUGAGGUGAUGAGGCACCCUUGGGGCCUGGAAGGGGGAGGAGGGAGUCACAGGUCACAGCCUCACAGAGGUGGUGGAUCGGGUGGGGGUGGGUGUGCAGCUGGAUCAGUGCUUCACACCCUACUCCGGUACCCGGGACCUGAGGGAGCCAAAAGAUUGGGCAGCGAAUGACAAGCACUGGCCUGGUGGGCACAGGCCACUGUGAGUUGGGCUCCGAGGCUGGCCAGCAGAGGGCCCUGGCCCUCAGCAACCAUCCCUGCGUAGAGAGGCGGUGCUGGAGGGGUGUGGGUGCUGGCUGGGGGCCCAGGCAAGGAGAAUGCCAGACAGGCUUCUGUCCAGCAAUAACAGCCCUGCCUGUUGCCAUCUACUAGCAGGCUAGACUUCAGCGGGGGUGGGGAGGGGAACCAGCCUUCCCCUGUCUGGUCUGGGACCCUCACCACUUCCUCCCAAUCUCUUUCCACUUACAGCCCCCUUUGCACACAACUGCAGCCACUGGCCACCAGCCUGGCCAUGCAUGCCGGAUCCAUUUGGCCACUAAAGCCUGCCACCCCCACAGGCUCAUAGACGGGAAAUGAGGAUGCGGAGAGAGACAGGGGCCAAGAAAAAGGGGAGAGAAGGGCCUGGAGAGGUAGAGAGAGGCUGGACAAACACAGGGUAGGAAUGGGGUGGGGGUGACCCAGACAUGAAGCUGCCCUCAAGCUGUGAGGCAGUGCCUAGAAAAACACUACUCAUACCCCUCUUCCUGCCCUCUGCUGGUUAAGGCCAGGGGAUGAUUGUGUGUCAUGUCUCUGUGGGUCCCUGAGCCAGUAGGCUGGCAACAGCUCUUCUGAGUAUUUUGGGGUGAAGCCACUGAUCAGUCCUAAGAAGAAAAAUUACCCUUUGCCCAGUCUGUGCACUGGAGAGAGGGUGUGACUCUCCCUUAUCCCUAUGAUGGUAGUGCUGCUAAUUGUUAAUUAGUGUCUGUGACUUUCUCCAGGGUAAAGGCCUCUUGGGUGAUUGGGUUAAGGGAGUGGGACUGGACUGGAUUUUCUGUCCUCAGUGUCUCUCUGGCCUUUCGAUUGUCCUUCUGUACUGAGGGCUGCUGCAGGGGCAAUGAUUCCCCUGUUCCCCCAAAUUUACUGACCAACCAAAAAGGAGGGAAUCCUUCCUCCUUCCUUGCAGGUACAAGAAGGACCAAUCAUCCCUCAGGGUUCCCAUCGCCUUCUUCUCAGAUUGGGAGUAUGUGGGGCUCAGCAAGGCUUCCCUCCGGGAGUAUCUGGAUUACGGGAUUCACUCAGGAUGUAAGACUUUUCCUGUUGCCAGCAGUGCCUUAGCUUUUCCAAAGUUCUGGAUUUAGAAAGGGUGAAUCAUGAGAGGGCUACAGUAGGGCUGCCACCCUCCACACCCCCCCCCAACAUUCUCCUCCACCCCCUACACACAUUAUCUCUCUAAAUCACAGUUGUGGGUGAGCGGAUCUGUAAGUGUUAGAGGUGGGAAAACCCUGGUCACACAUCAUACUGAUUCGGUCAGAGGGAUGCCCCGGCAUGGGGACUGAGAGGAUAAUUCGAAACGAAGAAAGUGGCACUGAAAAGGGAAGGGGGCGCUGGGAAGGAAAAAGGUGCGGUGUGAGAGUGGUGUAUGUAGGAGGUAGCCUCGCGAGCCAUCACGGAACAUCUGAGACUGUGUUUGGACCGGGCGGUGGUGGGGGUGGGGGGCUCCGGAUCUGCCUCAGCAGGUUUGUCGCUGGGAGAGUCCCGAGACGGCCGAGUAGGAGUUUGUGUAACCCUAGCGAGGAGACCAGGGAUACAUUCAGCCCUACGUGCUCCGUGAUGGGGCAGCGUUUGGCGGGGCAGGGGCCCCAGAGGUCCAGUCUACAGAAAUAGUACAAAGUUUGGGCCAGGCAGGUACUGGGUCUCGGGUCCGGGGGUCCCUCGUAGCUCCGGGCGGGCGUGCGUGGGG
rnacentral:lncRNA from 1 species